rnacentral:rRNA from 1 species
UACGAAGGGGGCUAGCGUUGUUCGGAAUCACUGGGCGUAAAGCGCACGUAGGCGGAUUGUUAAGUCGGGGGUGAAAUCCUGAGGCUCAACCUCAGAACUGCCUUCGAUACUGGCAAUCUCGAGUCCGGAAGAGGUUGGUGGAACAGCUAGUGUAGAGGUGAAAUUCGUAGAUAUUAGCUAGAACACCAGUGGCGAAGGCGGCUCACUGGCCCGAUACUGACGCUGACGGCACGAAAAGCGUGGGGGAGCAAACAGGG